rnacentral:rRNA from 2 species
AGAGUUUGAUCCUGGCUCAGGAUGAACGCUGACAGAAUGCUUAACACAUGCAAGUCUACUUGAAUUUGGGUUUUUAACUUAGGUUUGGGUGGCGGACGGGUGAGUAACGCGUAAAGAACUUGCCUCACAGCUAGGGACAACAUUUAGAAAUGAAUGCUAAUACCUAAUAUUAUGAUAAUAGGGCAUCCUAUAAUUAUGAAAGCUAUAUGCGCUGUGAGAGAGCUUUGCGUCCCAUUAGCUAGUUGGAGAGGUAACGGCUCACCAAGGCGAUGAUGGGUAGCCGGCCUGAGAGGGUGAUCGGCCACAAGGGGACUGAGACACGGCCCUUACUCCUACGGGAGGCAGCAGUGGGGAAUAUUGGACAAUGGACCGAGAGUCUGAUCCAGCAAUUCUGUGUGCACGAUGAAGUUUUUCGGAAUGUAAAGUGCUUUCAGUUGGGAAGAAAGAAAUGACGGUACCAACAGAAGAAGUGACGGCUAAAUACGUGCCAGCAGCCGCGGU